ACAACCGGUGCCUUAGGCCUGGCUUUUGCGUUCUGCUGGCCAGCCCCUCGUCCAGGUUGAUGGCACGGCAGCAAAGUUCUUAGCCCCUGCAGCGUGGGCUCCUAAUUUCACGCCAAGUUAAAAAUGCAGCCGAUCGCCCCCACACUUCCAACUUCAGAAACAGUUCUUUUUGGCCCUGGGGUGUGCCAAGGAGAGUGAAGAAUGCCUAACUGCUGGCUCUUCCCCCUUAUCAAUCUAAAUAACCCGUCCUCCCCGGUGCUCUCGCCUGCCUCCAGGAUUCGGGCUUUGAAAGGGUGAGAAGGGGAGAGAGGGACAGAGAGACAGAGAGAAAGAAAGAGAGAGAAGCGGUGCCAACCCCCUGCAACAAUAUAGCACCUUGGAAAUGGCGGGGUCAACGAAAACAGCUCGGUCCAGGCCAAAGCAGCCCGACUGUGAAGCCCUGUGAAGAGGAGUAUUCCUGGGUUAACUCAGCGGACGGUUGUUAUGCACUAUGUUUUUCUUUCUCUCCUCUACCAAGUCCCCCCUCUGAGCUCCACUCAAAUGUGUUUCUAACCAAACUGUCCAAGUUGCAUGGGGGUGGGGGCUGGGAAAUUGACGGAAGAAAGAAAGGUGGAGAGGUUUAAUUAUUUACAAAAUUCUAAGCUCCUUAGCUUUCCAUUAAAAUCUUGUUGAAAAAAUUUGAUUUCAGGCCAGCCCCAGUGGCCUGGUGGUUAAGUUCGGCAUGCUCCACUGUGGUGGCCCAGAUUCGGUUCCCACGUGCAGACCUACACCACUUGUCAGCCAUGCUGUGGCAGUGAGCCACAUCCAAAAUAGAGGAAGAUUGACAGAAGAUGUUAGCUCAGGGUGACUCUGCCUCAGAAAAGAAAAUAAUAAUUUGAUUUCAAUGUGGUUCGUUAGGCUUUUAGCAUUUGUUUUAUGAUCUUUGACUAUAUCAAGAAUGAUUUUUUUAAAAUAUAAGAAAGUUAAAUCUUUGAGAGAGCAGCAUAUUAUUUAAAUUUUAAGUAAUUACUGUUUAGCAGUAUAGAAAAUGAUACAAAAUUUAGCCAAAUUAAAACCACUGAUUUAUUUUUAUUUAUUUUAUUUUUCGGGUGGAAUUAGCAAUUUUUUAAAUGAUUAUGAAACAUAAUGAUGCAUUUUAUGAUAGAAAAUUGGUAAGUACAUAAAAGAAAAAGAAGUUGGGCCUGCGUAGGGUAGGGUUGGAGAAUGGGGGGGUGAUCACUAUAAUUCCACCCUGAUGUGAUUAAUGUUUUUUAACAUUUCAGCAUAUUUUCUUUUUUUCCCCAAUUAUUUUAUUGAAAUAGUAAAGUCUUAUAACAUUGUAUAAUUUUGGGUGUACAUUAUUAUUUAUCAAUUUCUGUAUAGACUGCAUUGUACUCACCACCAGUAGUCUAAUUUUAAUCUGUCAGCGUAUGUAUGUGCCCCUUUACCCCUUUCACCCACCCCCUCCAGUCGCCUGUCGCUCUGGUAACCACUAAUCUGUUCUUUUGGUCCAUGUGUUUGUUUAUCUUCCACAUAUGAGUGAAAUCAUUCUGUAUUUGUCUUUCUCUGUCUAGCUUAUUUUGCCUAACAUCGGACCCUCAAGGUCCAUCCGUGUUGCUACAAAUGGGACGGUUUUGUCUUUUUUGAUGGCUGAGUGCUAUUCCAUUGUGUAUGUAUACCACAUCUUCUUUAUCUGUUCAUCAGUCGAUAGGCACUUGGGUUGCUUCCAUGUCUUGGCUAUUGUGAAUAAUGCUGCAGUGAACAUAGGGGUGCAUAGAUCUCUUUGUAUUGUUGAUUUCAAGUUCUUUGGAUAAAGACCCAGUAGUGGGAUAGCUGGGUCGUAUGGUAUUUCUAUUUUUAAUUUUUUGAGAAAUCUCCAUACCAUUUUCCAUAGUGGCUGCACCAGUUUGCAUUCCCACCAGCAGUGUAUGAGGGUGCCCUUUUCUCCACAUCCUCUCCAACAUUUAAAACCACUGAUUUAUUUUUAUACAAGGGAUAUUUUUAGGUCUCAUUAUGAAUUUGUUUCCAAACAUGCUUUUUAUUAUAGUACAAAUUUUCCUUAAGUUGGCUUAGGUAGUAAUUAAAAAAAAAAAUCCUAAAGAUGUAGAAAGUGUACA
ensembl:lncRNA